UACGUAGGGUGCAAGCGUUAAUCGGAAUUACUGGGCGUAAAGCGUGCGCAGGCGGCUUUGCAAGACAGAUGUGAAAUCCCCGGGCUUAACCUGGGAACUGCAUUUGUGGCUGCAUGGCUGGAGUGCGGCAGAGGGGGAUGGAAUUCCGCGUGUAGCAGUGAAAUGCGUAGAUAUGCGGAGGAACACCGAUGGCGAAGGCAAUCCCCCUGG
rnacentral:rRNA from 1 species